GCCACGUCUACUUGUAUUUUUGUCCAUCUGAUGAGUUAAGCCUUUUUUCAACUGAUUUUUAUAGUUCGUUCUUAUGUUGUUACAGUACUGUUAUACCACUGUCCCAGGUUAGGGGAGGGUUGGGGUCCCGCUAACAUGUUAAACCCCGCCACAUUAUUUAUGUAUGUGCCUGUCCCAAGUCAGGAGCCUGUAAUUCAGUGGUUGUCGUUUGUUUAUGUGUUACAUAUUUGUUUUUCGUUCAUUUUUUUUACAUAAAUAAGGCCGUUAGAUUUCUCGUUUGAGUUGUUUUACAUUUUCUUAUCGGGGCCAUUUAUAGCUAACUAUGCGGUAUGGGCUUUGCUCAUUGUUGAAGGCCGUACGGUGACCUAUAGUUGUUCAUGUCUGUGUCAUUUUGGUCUUUUGUGGAUAGUUGUCUCAUUGGCAAUCAUACCACAUCUUCUUUUUUAAAUAAUCUAUAUAAAAUAAAAGUUGGAUUUUUUGUAGGUUCAGAAACAGUCAGGUAGUUUAUGC
rnacentral:lncRNA from 1 species